AAGACCAUAGUCAAUGUAUGACAUGUGAGUUGCAUUCACAAAGAGUUAAAAAAUUAACUGGUUUUA
rnacentral:tRNA from 1 species